rnacentral:lncRNA from 1 species
CUGAGCCUGCUGUUAGGGUCUGGGCAGCACUGAUUCUCACCUUGGCCCUCCCAGCCUGAGCACCGGAGUUCCUGACCAGCCAAAAUUGGGUUGGACGAAUUCCUCUACAGAAGCCCCAAGCCUCCAGGCUGGCCCCAAGGCCUGGCCAAGGCUUGUGCUGUAUUCCCCCACUUCAGUGGGGAGGAGUGGUGAAGAGCAUGCUGUUGAUGGCCUCAUUGUGAACCACAUCUGUGCCACUUCUUAAGCUGUGUGAAUAAGCUGUGUGACUCUGGGCAAGUUACCACACCUCUCUGAGUUUCCUGGUGAUAAAAUGAAGGUAAUCAUUCCUAGCCUGCACAGCUCCUCAGGCUGCUGUGAGCUCCCAUCAAACAAUGGAUGCAAACUUGCUUAGCAAACUAUCCAGAUCCUUAGGAUGAGUUGAACCACCACUAAGAUACAUCUGUGCUGAAGGCCUCAGAUCGGCACUUCUCUGAAGAACGUUCCAGAAAAGAGUGGAAAACAUUGUUUUAGGUGGGCCCCUCUUGGAGGCUCAGGAGGCAUGCUAGCAUAGUAAAGGCUCUGAUAAGUCCUGCCGCAAGGAGAUUUUCUCAAGUUUGUUUGCUCACGGAAGUCCUUUGGGCAGAACACCCACCAGCAUCCUACAGUCUCUGCUCUGCCAUCCAUGAUGAACGGUCUGCCUACAGAACGGUCUGUGACUUUCUCUUGGUGGCUGUUGGGCUGGGAGGACCCAGACAAGAUCAGUCCCAGUUAUAUCCACCGAAUACAGAUCCACGGAUGUCCCCAGGUUGGUGGCUGCGUCUUUGCCCCAGCCUCAGUCCAUUAGAAAGUGAUCUUUGCAGCUGGAACUACUGACAUUAGCUCCAGUUCCUCCAGGUGUUAUUUCAUUCCUGGAUGCCUGAAAAUCCCUGAAAGUGCUGCUUGAGCCAAAUUCAGAAGACAUGAUAAACCAGGUUAAUUUUAGGGCCCAUGACAAUAAGCAGGUGUCCUCUCAGUGGGUUGGUUGGAUAAAUGAGUUAAUUUUGUCCAAGCUCCAAACAUCUUGGGGACUUUGGUGCUGAGGGUGCACAUAUGUGUUGGGGGGUGGGUAGGGGAAAUAGUUCCUGCAUAGAACUGCUCCAGGGGGUUUGUGGAGACCUGACAAAGGACAGCUGCAUACUCAGCACUGCAAUUACUGGUGGUAAAAUGGUCCGACGGUAGAUCCCAGUGAGGGAGCUUGGCGGGUGGGCUUGGCAUUCUUUAGAAAACCCCACAUCAGCAGCUUUGCUGGUGGGAGUGGGGGUGAUUGGGGACCUUGGUGCCUUAUCCUGAGGCUGGGCAAGGCAGUCCAGGGCAGUGGAGGGUGGGACAGAGGGGAAGGUGUUUUUCAGAGUGAUCCCAGCAAGGGCAGAGACAAGAAUGGGGGUUUUAGGCAGACCACAUAGGUCGUUGGGGGAACCUCAGCUGUGCUCUGAAGGGACUGUGUGAUGUUGGGGGGCUCCUUUGGACUCUCUGAGCCUCAAUUUCCUCAUCUGCAAAUGGAGGCAAUAAUCUCUCUCUCUCUUUCAGAAUAAUGAAUGGAAUAACUUGGGCUAAGUGCCUAGAAAUAUCUGGCACAUAAUAUGUGCUCUUGUGAAUACCAAUUCUCCCCCAUUUCUUUGGAUAAGCUCAGAGACUGGCAGAGAGGUGUUUUUUUUUUUUUUAACUUUUAAUUGAAGUGUAACAUACACAUAGAAAAGUGCAUACAGCUUUUUUUUUUUUUUAAUUUACAAUUUAUUUCAACUCUUCCAGGGCUGGGAAUGUUACAAAACCUUAAACCAAU